UUAUGGAAAGAUACUUUAUCCAAAAAAACCCAGGUCCUGAGCAUUUUGGAUAACGAUCCCUAACCUGUAUGUUUUAAGUUUAAGUGCCAUUGUAUGCGAUUGUGGUGUCUUCUGCUGAUGAUAACCUUGUCCAGUUCUGCUACUGAGACUGUACGAUGAUAUUCCUUAAUCUGAAGAAGAGUACCUGAUUAUAUAUUGGUUAUUGAUUGGUAUGUUUUAGGCCAUUUUGUAGUCUGCACAACAACCCAUGUAAACUGUGGGACAGUGCAGGUUCUCCAAUGGAGAACACUGUACUAUGUACCAUUGGUACAUAGAACUGGAUACAGCAGUGCUUUUGUUCUUUUAAAAUAAAAUGCUUUUAUUGCAUGCUUUCAGGGCAUUGAAGCUGAACAGCUUUACUGUGGUGCUGUUCCAGAUUGUAUCUCAUCCUUGGGCCUUUUUGUACCCAAAUCCAUAAUGUUUAUCCUUUAUCCUUCAGAUAACCUACAAGCGGAGAACACCUGCUAACCAGUCUUGUCAUAUGGAGUGUGGAAUGUUAACUGUACACAUUUGUGUUCCAAGUUAUGGGGAGAUACAUGAUCGAGUAAAUUCCUUGAGUCUGAAAGUUAGCCGUUUAAUAUGGCAGAGUUCACAGGGAUGCCGGUCCCAAGAUUGAUUCUAGUGCAGGUGAAAUGAUACUACCAUGAAUUCAACAUACAGAGAAAUAAAAGUGAAGACCACUUGCUUGUUUUGACCCUUGCGAGAAAUAAAAGUGAAGACCACUUGCUUGUUUUGACCCUUGCGAAAUAAUAGAAGAGCAGAACACUUGCUUGUUUUGACCCUUGCGAUCCCAAGAUUGAUUCUAGCAUGGGAGUGAAGAGGCUGUCAUGAAUCUGACUUGCACAUACAGUCUACCUUCUUUACAUGCCUGCAUAUUCAUUGACUGGCCAGUUGAACUUGAGAAACCACUGAAUACAAUCCAGUGGAUGCAGAUUUACACCAGACUCUUAAACAGGUAACGAACAACUGACAUAGAGAAGCGCUCCUGGGGUGCUGAUGCUGUUUUAACUUGCAAUAAAUUGUGUACAUAAACCAA